GUGAAUCAUCAAAUCUUUGAACGCAAAUUGCACUCUCUGGUAUUCCGGAGAGUAUGCCUGUUUGAGGGUCAGUUUAAAUAAAAAUCGGUGUGGUUGCUGCCUUUCGUGGUGACGCACCGGAUGUGGGUCGUCUUGCCUUCGGUUAAGUGACCUAAAAUUUUCCAUGAUUUUUUCGAAAGUAUUUAAUUACUUUUCCGUCCGUUUCCACUUUCUAAUAC
rnacentral:misc_RNA from 1 species